AUGGGCAGUGACAGAAGCGAAUUCCACGGAGCCGGUGCAGAGUCACCGCUGGGCAUGCGUUCUCAGAAAACUCAACUGAACACCGAACUUGGACCAGUUGCCUCCACCGCCAGCGAGCUCGGACUAGAUGAUGGUGAUAGCGACUCUGCUCCGAGCAGCCAGGAGCCAGUUUUGCUGUUUGGGAGAGUGGUAGAGGGUGAUGAUAGCAAUCAGACAAAAAUGCUGCCCGUGACUGCCGGGGCCAGAAGUAGGUUUUUGGCUGGUUGCAAGGCUGCUGGAUUGCUUGAUAAGGGGCAUGAGCUGCACUUCCAGACUGAAGAUCAGGCGUAUCUGUGGCAGAUGCUCGGUGCAGUCUCACUAUACCAGUUAGGGAAUAGCUGCGGCCAUAGAUCCAACCCCCUCUCUGUCAGAGCUGAACCGCACCAGUCGAGAGCAAGCUCUGAUUGCUGGUCACAAAGAGAGGUUGAGAAGGGAGUUGAGGAUCCCAGGUCAGGGGAGAGACAACCCACAGAAGCUCGUGAUAAGGAUUCUAGUUGCAGCAACAGAAGAGGAAUUCCGAUUGCAGCUGAAGGGGAGAAGCAGUUCUGCGGAGGAAGUGAUAUCCUGGGCGCUUUCCAUGAGAACUACAACAGAUCUGUUUUAGAGGGCUCGAUGGAAAGCAUUCUGGGAGAUCCAACCUUGGGUGCCCCAGCAGUGACAAACUCCGAUUCCGCUGGCAAACUACCGGAGGGAGAAGAUGCAGUGAGGCCAUCAAACCCCCCUCAAUUCGGGUUCAGUAGCUGCUAUGAAUUCGGUCUUGGUCAAAAGCAGAGGCAUAUGGAAAGAGAAAAAGGGGAAAGUAGUGGAGCCCAGGUGGGGUGCAGCAGCACGCUCCCAGCCUGGCUUCCGGCCCCUUCUGGAAGCUUUGGGGUGGUUGGAGCUAGGGUUUCCCUGGAGCUAAAAAAAAACCCACCCCCAGCCUACGUUCCCCCAAUCCUCCCCCUGCUGCCGCCACCACCACUCUGGAGAGCGACAUGGACACGGGCCACGGAAGAGGGCGAGGAAAGAAUAGGCCAGGGCGAGGAGAUGGUGAUCGCCAGAUGCAGAAGCAGCAGUGGCAAGAUCCACCACCGCAAAUCAAUCAGGUACCACCCCCAUUUGGUUUUGGCUACGGAUUUCCAGGGCAGGCUCCACCCUGGGGUUUCAAUGGCCAGUUCCAUGGAGGUUUUCCCCCUCUGCGGCCAUGGCAGGGGAUGCCUCCUCCAUGGUUCCCGCAGCAGCACCUGCCAUAGCAGGAAGUGGAUCAAGGGAACUCUGUCAGUGACAACAGUCAAGGAUCAGGGAGCUCUGCGAUCGCUGGGCAGGGCAAUUCUAAAGGCAUGGGCAAGCAAAACAAAAAAAGCAGGAGAUUAG
rnacentral:rRNA from 1 species